AAUCUUGUCCCCUUUUGUGAAUAUGUAGAAAUAGAAUCAUACAUUUGUUGGGCUUAACAAUUUUGCGUAGGCUUGAGGGAAAUAAUUUAAUUUCCUUGUGCAUAGGAUGCCUUGUCUUGGUAUUUAAGUAAGGUGUUGAAUCUAGCUUGUGACUUUAUAAGAUGAAAAUCUCUUUGGACUUGUAAAGUGCCUGUGUAGCUAAUGUUAGAGCGUUGCAGAAAUUUAUAAAUACUGUGUGAUAU
rnacentral:misc_RNA from 1 species